CUGCUGUUCUUCCCCAGUUCCUCAUACUGAGUCGCAGGCACCCACACUACACUUUUCUAGUGAAAAUAUGUACUUUAGCAUAACGGUAGCCAGCGUUGCGCCUCAGUAGCUGCGCCAGGGGAAUGCAGGAAGCGAUCUUUGUGUUCACCCACUUGGUAGGAUGGACGGCAAGGUGUAUGCACGCUUGUCAAAGUGUAAACGGAAUCGGCCCAAUUUAGUACAAUGUCACCUGAAAAUCUGCUUUUACAACUUUGGGAGGAGGUUGAAAGUGAAUCAUCAGGUGAUUCAGCUACCAAUGAUGACUUGGAUCGUGUGAGCCAAAGAAGUUACCAAGAAUGACAGAUAUGACAGACAGAUACGGCAGAGAAGUACAAAACAAAGACCUUGAUUCAGAUGGGGAAGAAAGUAGUAAUGUAAAUAAAUAUUUGAGUAGUCAAAAUGCUACAAAUGGUCACAUAUACCUUAAUGAUCCAAUGUUAGAGGUUCUUGCCAGGGGUGAAAGCUAUCGGAUGGAAUGCCGACACUGUGACUCAAUGUUGGAAAUUGUUUGUAAUGGAUAAUAUGCUACAAGAUGUUUUGAAAUACAUUAAUACUGAGAUACAAGAAAACAUUCUAUAUACAUCAGUAGUAAUACUUAAAAAUAUACUUAUCACGAUACUUCACUAUCUGAACUAAAAGUUCAUAGCAGGACUUUAUCAUUCUAAUCAUCAGAAUCUAAAGGAUUAAUGGGAAGUGGCAGAAUUUAUGGAGAAUGUGGCACUGAGAUUUUUAGAACAAUAAUGACACUCAAGAGAUUUGGUUUCCUUCAACAUUGCCUACAUUUUGACUACAGAAAGACCCACCAAGAAAGAAAAAAAUCUGACACUUUGCCUACUAUUUGCUCAGUUUUUGAAAGCUUUGUUUUGAUCUGUCAAGCAAUUUAUACACCAUCUGAAUACAUGACAAUUGACAACUUGCAUCAUUUUGUGGUUAUUGAAGCUUUUGGCAACAUAUGCCAAGCAAACCUUCCAAAUAUGGUAUAAAAAUAUGUGCCGUGGUAGCUGUGAAGACAUUUUACACUUUGAAUUUAGAAAUUUAUCCUGGAACUCAGCCACUAGGUCUCAGUUCGUGCAGUAAUAAACCGUAUGACAUUG